rnacentral:rRNA from 1 species
AUGAACGCUAGCGAUAGGCUUAACACCUGCAAGUCGAGGGGCAGCAUGGUCUUAGCUUGCUAAGACUGAUGGCGACCGGCGCACGGGUGCGUAACGCGUAUGCAACUUGCCUCACAGAGGGGGAUAACCCGUCGAAAGACGGACUAAUACCGCGUACACUUGGGAUAGGGCAUCCUGACCCAAGGAAAUGAAAUUCGCUGUGAGAUAGGCAUGCGUCCCAUUAGCUAGUUGGUGAGGUAACGGCUCACCAAGGCGACGAUGGGUAGGGGAACUGAGAGGUUGAACCCCCACACUGGUACUGAGACACGGACCAGACUCCUACGGGAGGCAGCAGUGAGGAAUAUUGGUCAAUGGGCGAGAGCCUGAACCAGCCAAGUCGCGUGAAGGAUGACUGUCUUAUGGAUUGUAAACUUCUUUUAUACGGGAAUAACAAGAGCCACGUGUGGCUCCCUGCAUGUACCGUAUGAAUAAGCAUCGGCUAACUCCGUG